GAGGACAGCGGAAAGCGAAAAUAGGUUAGCCGAAUUGUAUGGGAAGACAAAUCGAAGAGUGUGAGAAUCACGUAGGCGAAAACUGAAGACAGCCGGCUGAAUCCGGAGUACUGCGGGACACGAGGAAUCCCGUGGGAAGCAGGGGGGACCACCCUCCAAGCCAAAAUACUACCCAGUGACCGAUAGAGGAGCAGUACCGUGAGGGAAAGGUGAAAAGAACCCCGGGAGGGGAGUGAAAGAGAACCUGAAACCCUGUGUUUACAAGCACACAAAGCACGACUUGAGUGCGAUGUGGUACUUUUUGUAGAACGGUCCGGCGAGUUUUUGUAUGCAGCGAGGUUAAUGUCCUCUGGACAGGAGCCAAAGGGAGACCGAGUGUUAACAGCGCGAGAAGUUGCAUGCAAAAGACCCGAAACCGGGUGACCUAUCCAUGAGCAGGCUGAAGUAAGGGUAAAACCUUAUGGAGGGCCGAACCAACCCCCGUUGAAAAGGUGGUGGAUGACUUGUGGAUAGCGGAGAAAUUCCAAUCGAACUCGGAGAUAGCUGGUUCUCCCCGAAAUAGCUUUAGGGCUAGCCUUGAGGAAAAUGAUUACCGGAGGUAAAGCACUGAUUAGUCAAGGGGUCGAUAAGAUUACCGACACUUCUCAAACUAAGAAUGCCGGAUAAUUAAACUCAGGAGUCAGACUGUGUGAGAUAAGUUUCAUAGUCGAAAGGGAAACAGCCCAGACCUACAGCUAAGGUCCCAAAUAUAUGCUAAGUGGAAAAGGAUGUAUAGUUGCAAAAACAACCAGGAUGUUGGCUUAGAAGCAGCCAUUCAUUAAAAGAGUGCGUAAUAGCUCACUGGUCGAGUGACAAUGCGCCGAAAAUUCAACGGGGCUAAGCAUAUAACCGAAGCUUAGGCUUGUACGGAAUACGUACAGGGGUAGGGGAGCGUUUUGUUUUUGGAGAAGUCAGAGCGAGAGCACUGGUGGAGAAAACAAAAGAGAGAAUGCCGGAAUGAGUAGCGAGAAUUAUGUGAGAAUCAUAAUGGCCGAAAAUCUAAGGUUUCUAGGGGAAGGUUCGUCCGCCCUAGGUAAGUCGGAAGCUAAGGCGAGGCCGAAAGGCGUAGUCGAUGCACAAACGGUUGAUAUUCCGUUACCGUCGAAACUGUUAAGUAAGCUGACACUUUGUAAUAGGGGAACCCGGGCGUUGGUAGACCCGGGCGAAAGGGUGGCUGUUAUGGCUGGAAGUCCCUGAUGUACAGAGGCGAGAAAAGGCUUAUGAAUUGGUUAGAUGUCCGUACCGCAAACCGACACAGGUAGAUGAGGAGAGAAUCCUAAGACCAACGGGAGAAGGGUUGUUAAGGAACUCGGCAAGUUGACCCCGUAACUUCGGGAGAAGGGGUGCCACAGAGAUGUGGCCGCAGAGAAUAGGCCCAGGCAACUGUUUAGCAAAAACACAGGUCUCUGCUAAAUCGAAAGAUGAUGUAUAGGGGCUGACGCCUGCCCGGUGCCGGAAGGUUAAGAUGAGAUGUCAGAGCAAUCGAAGCAUUGACUUGAAGCCCCGGUAAACGGCGGCCGUAACUAUAACGGUCCUAAGGUAGCGAAAUUCCUUGUCAGGUAAGUUCUGACCCGCACGAAUGGCGUAAUGAUCUGGGCACUGUCUCAACAACCCGCCCGGCGAAAUUGUAGUACCGGUAAAGAUGCCGGUUACCCGCGACUAGACGGAAAGACCCCAUGGAGCUUCACUGCAGUUUGAUAUUGGAUUUCGGUAUUUUAUGUACAGGAUAGGUGGGAGACUGAGAAGUAUACGCGCCAGCGUAUAUGGAGUCACUGUUGGGAUACCACUCUUAAAAUAUUGGAAUUCUAACCUGCGGCCGUCAAUCCGGACGGGGGACAGUGUCAGACGGGCAGUUUGACUGGGGCGGUCGCCUCCAAAAGAGUAAC
rnacentral:rRNA from 1 species